rnacentral:tRNA from 1 species
GACUUCGUGGUGUAACGGUCAACACGCUCGGCUUGUAUUCAAGCGGUCCAGGGUUCGAGUCCUGGGAAGGGCA